CCUAAAAACGGGGCAAGUCGAGCGGUAACAGGUGUAGCAACCAUGCUGACGAGCGGCGAACGGGUGAGUAACAGAUUCGGAAUCUGCCCAAUGGUGGGGAAUAACCAGCCGAAAGGUUGGCUAACAGACGCAUGAGCCCUACGGGGGAAAGCAGGGGAUCGUAAGACCUUGCGCCGAUGGAUGAGCCGAAGUCGGAUUAGCUAGUUGGUAGGGUAACGGCCUACCAAGGCGACGAUCCGUAGCUGGUCUGAGGAGACGACCAGCCACACUGGGACUGAGACACGGCCCAGACUCCUACGGGGAGCAGCAGUGGGGAAACAUGGACAAUGGGGGCAACCCUGAUCCAGCGACGCCGCGUGUGUGAAGAAGGCCUGCGGGUUGUAAAGCACAAGGAGUGGGGAUGAAAAGCUCAGGGCUAACACCUCUGAGUCUUGACCUAACCCACAGAAAAAGCACCGGCUAACUCUGUGCCAGCAGCCGCGGGAUAGAUGAGGGUGCAAGCGUUAAUCGGAAUUACUGGGCGUAAAGCGUACGUAGACGGUUGUAGGAAGUCGGAUGUGAAAGCCCCGGGCUCAACCUGGGAAUUGACGGGCGAGACUGUGCAGCUAGGGUGCGGAAGGAGGAAGCGGAAUUUCCGGUGUAGCGGUGAAACGCGUAUAGGAUCGGAAGGAACACCAGUGGCGAAAGCGGCUUCCUGGUCCAGCACCGACGUUCACGUACGAAAGCAUGGGGAGCAAACAGGAUUAUAGG
rnacentral:rRNA from 1 species